rnacentral:tRNA from 1 species
UUUAACCCUAAAUAUGAAUAAAUUCUCAUAUUA